rnacentral:rRNA from 1 species
UACAGAGGUCUCAAGCGUUGUUCGGAGUUACUGGGCGUAAAGGGUGUGUAGUCGGUUCUUUAAGUUUGGCGUGAAAUCUCCCGGCUCAACCGGGAGGGUGCGUCGAAUACUGAGGGACUAGAGUACGGGAGAGGAAAGUGGAAUUCCUGGUGUAGCGGUGAAAUGCGUAGAUAUCAGGAGGAACACCGGUGGUGUAGACGGCUUUCUGGACCGUAACUGACGCUGAGACACGAAAGCGUGGGUAGCAAACAGG